rnacentral:rRNA from 1 species
UGGGGAAUAUUGGACAAUGGGCGAAAGCCUGAUCCAGCCAUGCCGCGUGUGUGAAGAAGGCCUUUUGGUUGUAAAGCACUUUAAGCGAGGAGGAGGCUACUUGGAUUAAUACUCUAGGAUAGUGGACGUUACUCGCAGAAUAAGCACCGGCUAACUCUGUGCCAGCAGCCGCGGUAAUACAGAGGGUGCGAGCGUUAAUCGGAUUUACUGGGCGUAAAGCGUGCGUAGGCGGCUUCUUAAGUCGGAUGUGAAAUCCCUGAGCUUAACUUAGGAAUUGCAUUCGAUACUGGGAAGCUAGAGUAUGGGAGAGGAUGGGAGAAUUCCAGGUGUAGCGGUGAAAUGCGUAGAGAUCUGGAGGAAUACCGAUGGCGAAGGCAGCCAUCUGGCCUAAUACUGACGCUGAGGUACGAAAGCAUGGGGAGCAAACAGG